UCUUUUCUUUUGAUAAGAGAGUUUUUAAAACCAGUGUUAUUUCUGUAGAUUUAAGAGAAGCUUAUGUAUUAAAUUUUUAUUUUUGAUAUUAAAGAGCUUUGUUGAGUUUAGGUCAUUUUGGGGGUUUAGCUCAGUUGGCUAGAGCAUCGGCUUUGCAAGCCGAGGGUCAAGGGUUCGAGUCCCUUAACCUCCAUUGGGCUUGUGCCCUAAAUUGUGAUUAAGUAUGUUUUUAAGUAGCUUUGUUAAAGUAAUUAUUGGAAUGUGAAACAGAGGAAGUUAGGAUUUCUGGGUUAAAGGUGGGUUCUGUUGAUAUUAAGAAGAAUGUCUAAAAGCGAAGGUAAACUUUAGAUAAAAUCCAAGGUUGUUUCACUAAAGCACAAGGAUUAAACAGAAUUAUAUUUUCCAGCGGCCUAUUUUAUAAAUGCAGAUCAUUUAUAAAAUAGCUUUUAGUUAGAAAAUAAUGUGGAUUGCUAAGCGUGAUGUCUAGGUAGGGACAAGUAUUGUAGCGAGUCGCAGCCCUUGUUAUCGCUGUCAGCAUCUAGUAGUGGGGAUUUGGAUAAGACCGUCAGUUAUAAGUUGGAGUAAGGCAAAGAUUGCAUUAAAUCGUCAUGUUCCUUGUCCUGGGUUACAAGCUUGUCGUAAUAACCUAAAAAAGCUAAGCAAAAUACCAUAAAGCAGGUCUCAAUUCAGAUUGAAGUCUGAAACUUAACUUUAUGAAGUUGGAAUCGUAUAUACCUUAAUAUAUAAAUUGAAUAAACUUUUGUUGUU
rnacentral:misc_RNA from 1 species